rnacentral:rRNA from 1 species
CUGAUCCAGCCAUGCCGCGUGCAGGAUGAAGGCCUUCGGGUUGUAAACUGCUUUUGUACGGAACGAAAAGGUCUUUUCUAAUAAAGAAGGCUCAUGACGGUACCGUAAGAAUAAGCACCGGCUAACUACGUGCCAGCAGCCGCGGUAAU